UCGAAUGUUUUAAAUACUGUUUUCUCAAAACAGAACAUUUCGUGCUUUGAGAUAAGACGGCCAAGACCAAUUUGAUCAGUUAAUGUGUUUUUUAUGCAUAGUGCUUCAGCAGUUGACAUAUAUAGAGCUCAGAGGAAACAUAUAAAUUAUAGCAUCUGACCAAUGAGAAUUUCGCGUCACGAUUUGAGACGCAGAUAUUCAAAUUCAUUAGUCAUCGAUGCAGGCUCCCAAUUCAGCUUGAGAGCCUGUUCGCAGGCUAGUUAGAUGCUGGU